ACACCAGCCGAGUUAAAAACUAGCUUCAAUCUCCUCCCUAUGCAUUAAUCCGACGCUGUCUGCUUGUAUGCUCUACAUUCCAAGAUAUCAUUUCCUAGUGAUAGCCAAACUUCCGGGGAUAGUUAUCUUUAAGCUUCGCCUCUGCGGAUUUUCUAGCGCUGGGCAACCUCCGAGCCAAUCAGAAUGCAGGAUUUGCGGAGUGGAAUGCCUCGGCAUCGAACUGCCAAAUCAUGUGAGGGCCCCAUAUGGAUGGAUAAAAACAUCUACUCUGGACACAGAUGAAGAAUCGCC
rnacentral:sRNA from 1 species